rnacentral:ncRNA from 1 species
AUGCAUGCCGCGGGAGAGAGCGGGCCGCCAGGUCCGCCGCCGAAGGCGCAAUUCGCCCGGAAUCGCUCAGGUAACCCAUACCGCGCAUUGCAC